GAUGAACGCUAGCGGCAGGCUUAAUACAUGCAAGUCGAGGGGCGAGCAGGGGUGUAGCAAUACACUCGCUGGCGACCGGCAAACGGGUGCGGAACACGUACGCAACUUACCCAUAACUGGGAAUAGCCCGGGGAAACCCGGAUUAAUACCCCGUAACAUAUUGAGAGGGCAUCUUCUUAAUAUUAUAGCUCAGGCGGUUAUGGAUGGGCGUGCGCCUGAUUAGGUAGUUGGCGGGGUAACGGCCCACCAAGCCUACGAUCAGUAACUGGUGUGAGAGCACGACCAGUCACACGGGCACUGAGACACGGGCCCGACUCCUACGGGAGGCAGCAGUAAGGAAUAUUGGUCAAUGGACGCAAGUCUGAACCAGCCAUGCCGCGUGAAGGAUGAAGGUCCUCUGGAUUGUAAACUUCUUUUAUAUGGGACGAAACCCCCGAAUUCUUUCGGGAUUGACGGUAACCAUAGGAAUAAGCACCGGCUAACUCCGUGCCAGCCGCCGCAGUAA
rnacentral:rRNA from 1 species